rnacentral:lncRNA from 1 species
CAAAGUACAAAAUAAAUUUCCAAACAAGUUGCGUGUAUCUCAAUUAUGAACUGUUAUUGAUUAAAGUACAAAAUGAAGUUCCAUAUAAGCACGUGCUGUCAUAGCGAACCAAAUUAUCAAGCAUAAAUAUAAGAGUACACUAAGUUUUGACCAACACAUAGUCUCACACAUUAGUAUAUCGUCAAGCAAGUUUGUUAGCUACUCUGCACGAAGCCACCAAGCAGUUCUGUACCAACACAAAGCACACAUGCCACCACCCCCUCUAUGCCUCCAUGUAGCAUGCAGUCGAAACCU